rnacentral:rRNA from 1 species
CCUACGGGAGGCUGCAGUGGGGAAUAUUGCACAAUGGGGGAAACCCUGAUGCAGCAACGCCGCGUGAGUGAGGAAGUAUUUCGGUAUGUAAAGCUCUAUCAGCAGGGAAUAGAAAAGAAGGUACCUGAACAAGAAGCCCCGGCUAACUACGUGCCAGCAGCCGCGGUAAUACGUAGGGGGCAAGCGUUAUCCGGAUUUACUGGGUGUAAAGGGAGCGUAGACGGUAAGGCAAGUCAGAGGUGAAAACCCAAGGCUCAACCAUGGUACUGCUUUUGAAACUGUCAAACUAGAGUACGGGAGAGGUAAGAGGAAUGCCGGGUGUAGCGGUGAAAUGCGUAGAUAUUAGGAGGAACACCGGUGGCGAAGGCGGCUUACUGGACCGAAACUGACGUUGAGGCACGAAAGCGUGGGGAGCAAACAGGAUUAGAUACCCCGGUAGUC